UUCUAUGCAGUGGUCUAAAGUGGCACCAGGUACAGUAAUGGAGUCACUGGAACUGGAUAGGCGACUGUGCAUGAGAAAAGGAGGAGACGCCAAAGAUAGAAGUGAGACCUUUGAGCAGUGGGUAAGUGAAGGAGAUAUUUACAAGGAAGGAGAAAAAAGGGACAUUUUCGUAAAACAAAAUAAAACAAGCAAACAAAUAAUCUCAACAAUUUCAUUUUAUUGCUACUACAGUAAGUACCUAUUUGAAUCUGAGCAGCAGAAAUAUCUUGAGGAGAUAGGGUCUAAUCAGAAGAAACAAGUCACCAGGGUUUAUAUACUCUUGGUCCUGCUCCUUGCCUCCCUAUUUCUUUCUGUCUCUGUCUCUCUCAAGUUGAGUACCGAAUAGAUGAAUCUGUAGUCUUCAAACACCAAAUAAAUGUCACAGUGUACCAGACAUGGCUCCUAGCAAUGCAGCUGUGUUUAGUGCCUGAUUGGAAUCAGAUGGAGAGAGAUAGAGAUAGACACAGAGAGAGAGUCAAAGAGAUGGGGAAGGCAAGGAUCAGAACCAAAAGUGUACCCGUUCUGGUGAC
rnacentral:lncRNA from 1 species